AUUGUAGGCGAUUCGUGUGUGGAUCUCGUCAGGAUAUCGUCGCAAACAGGUGAGCCUUGAUGUGGGUGACUUGGAGCCGAAGGGGAUUCAGAGUGGCCAUGGUGAAUACUUUUGGGUUUGAAAAAAAGAGACUGGUUUUCUUAAGUUAUUUUUAAUUACUAUUUAAUUUUUGGGUUGUAAUAAGGCCAUUUUAACUUUAUUUUCUUAUUUGAUUUUUCUGGGAUUAUAUUAUUAAAAACAA